rnacentral:rRNA from 1 species
GACGUAGGGCGCGAGCGUUGUCCGGAAUUAUUGGGCGUAAAGAGCUCGUAGGCGGUCUGUCGCGUCUGCUGUGAAAACUCGGGGCUUAACCCCGGGCCUGCAGUGGGUACGGGCAGACUAGAGUGCGGUAGGGGAGACUGGAAUUCCUGGUGUAGCGGUGAAAUGCGCAGAUAUCAGGAGGAACACCGGUGGCGAAGGCGGGUCUCUGGGCCGUAACUGACGCUGAGGAGCGAAAGCGUGGGGAGCGAACAGG